CGAAGGGGCGUAGCGUUGCUCGGAAGUGACUGGGCGUAAAAGGGCGCGUAGGCGGCACACACAGUCAGGCGUGAAAUUCCUGGGCUUAACCUGGGGGCUGCGUUUGAGACGUGUGAGCUAGAGGAUGGAAGAGGCUCGUGGAAUUCCCAGUGUAGAGGUGAAAUUCGUAGAUAUUGGGGAAGAACACCGGUGGCGAAGGCGGCGAGCUGGUCCAUUACUGACGCUGAGGCGCGAAAAGCGUGGGAGCAAACAGGAUU
rnacentral:rRNA from 1 species